GACGAACGCUGGCGGCGUGCUUAACACAUGCAAGUCGAACGGAAAGGCCCUGCUUUUGUGGGGUGCUCGAGUGGCGAACGGGUGAGUAACACGUGAGUAACCUGCCCUUGACUUUGGGAUAACUUCAGGAAACUGGGGCUAAUACCGGAUAGGAGCUCCUGCUGCAUGGUGGGGGUUGGAAAGUUUCGGCGGUUGGGGAUGGACUCGCGGCUUAUCAGCUUGUUGGUGGGGUAGUGGCUUACCAAGGCUUUGACGGGUAGCCGGCCUGAGAGGGUGACCGGCCACAUUGGGACUGAGAUAGGGCGCAGACUGCUACGGGAGGCAGCAGGGGGGAAUAUUGCCCAAUGGGCGGAAGCCUGAUGCAGCAACGCCGCGUGCGGGAAGACGGCCUUCGGGUUGUAAACCGCUUUCGCCUGUGACGAAGCGUGAGUGACGGUAAUGGGUAAAGAAGCACCGGCUAACUACGUG
rnacentral:rRNA from 1 species